GAUGAACGCUGGCGGCGUGCUUAACACAUGCAAGUCGAACGAAGCACUUUAACCUGAUUCUUCGGAUGAAGGUUUUUGUGACUGAGUGGCGGACGGGUGAGUAACGCGUGGGUAACCUGCCUCAUACAGGGGGAUAACAGUUAGAAAUGACUGCUAAUACCGCAUAAGACCACAGAGCCGCAUGGCUCGGUGGGAAAAACUCCGGUGGUAUGAGAUGGACCCGCGUCUGAUUAGGUAGUUGGUGGGGUAACGGCCUACCAAGCCAACGAUCAGUAGCCGACCUGAGAGGGUGACCGGCCACAUUGGGACUGAGACACGGCCCAAACUCCUACGGGAGGCAGCAGUGGGGAAUAUUGCACAAUGGGGGAAACCCUGAUGCAGCGACGCCGCGUGAGCGAAGAAGUAUUUCGGUAUGUAAAGCUCUAUCAGCAGGGAAGAAAAUGACGGUACCUGACUAAGAAGCACCGGCUAAAUACGUG
rnacentral:rRNA from 1 species